GGAUGUGAGGGCGAUCUGGCUGCGACAUCUGUCACCCCAUUGAUCGCCAGUAUUGAUUCGGCUGAUCUGGCUGGCCAGGCGAGCGUCCCCUUCCUCCCUCCACGCUCCAUGUGCGUCCCUCCCCAAACUGCUCGCUCGGUCGAAGAGGACGAACACGCCCGAUAGAGGAGGACCGUCCCUCCGCCAAGGGUAUACCAGUAGAUGCGCUUCCCUGCUAGCACCUCCAAACAAGCUCUUUUCCCUUCCUUCCUUUCUUUUUUUUUUUUUUUUUUUUCAGUCCCGGGACUUGAACUCAUGACCUUGCGCUUGCCAGGCAGUUGCUUUGCCUCUGAGC
rnacentral:sRNA from 1 species